rnacentral:rRNA from 1 species
UGUGUAGGCGGUUUUCUAAGUCUGGUGUGAAAUCUCCCGGCUCAACUGGGAGGGUGCGCCGAAAACUGGAAGGCUAGAGUGCGGGAUGGGAGAGUGGAAUUCCUGGUGUAGCGGUGAAAUGCGUAGAUAUCAGGAGGAACACCUGUGGUGUAGACGGCUCUCUGGACCGCAACUGACGCUGAGACACAAAAGCGUGGUAGCAAAC